CCUACGGGGGGCUGCAGUGGGGAAUAUUGGACAAUGGGGGGAACCCUGAUCCAGCCAUGCCGCGUGUGUGAAGAAGGCCCUCGGGUUGUAAAGCACUUUCAGUGAGGAAGAACGCCUGGUGGUUAAUACCCAUCAGGAAAGACAUCACUCACAGAAGAAGCACCGGCUAACUCCGUGCCAGCAGCCGCGGUAACACGGAGGGUGCGAGCGUUAAUCGGAAUUACUGGGCGUAAAGCGCGCGUAGGUGGCUUGAUAAGCCGGUUGUGAAAGCCCCGGGCUCAACCUGGGAACGGCAUCCGGAACUGUCAAGCUAGAGUGCAGGAGAGGAAGGUAGAAUUCCCGGUGUAGCGGUGAAAUGCGUAGAGAUCGGGAGGAAUACCAGUGGCGAAGGCGGCCUUCUGGACUGACACUGACACUGAGGUGCGAAAGCGUGGGUAGCAAACAGGAUUAGAUACCCUUGUAGUC
rnacentral:rRNA from 1 species